rnacentral:tRNA from 1 species
UAGCUCAGUGGUAGAGCACUUGUCUUGCAUGCAGGAGACCCUGGGUUCAAUUCCUCAG